rnacentral:rRNA from 1 species
AGAGUUUGAUCCUGGCUCAGGACGAACACUGGCGGCGUGCCUAACACAUGCAAGUCGUGCGAGAAAGCCCCUUCGGGGGUGAGUACAGCGGCGGACGGGUGAGUAACACGUGAGUGAUCUACCCGGCGAUGGGGGACAACCCAGGGAAACCUGGGCUAAUACCGCAUACAGCGGAGGGAGUAGGUGCCCUUCGUGAAAGCUGGCCUCUCCAUGGAAGCUAGCGUCGCCGGAGGAGCUCGCGGCCUAUCAGCUUGUUGGUGGGGUAACGGCCUACCAAGGCUAUGACGGGUAGCUGACGUGAGAGCGUGAGCAGCCACACUGGGACUGAGACACGGCCCAGACUCCUACGGGAGGCAGCAGUGGGGAAUAUUGCGCAAUGGGCGAAAGCCUGACGCAGCGACGCCGCGUGGGGGAGGAAGGCCUUAGGGUUGUAAACCCCUGUCAGGUGGGACGAAACCCGGGUCGGUGAAUAACCGGCUCGACUGACGUACCACCAGAGAAGCUCCGCUAACU